CAGGAACAAGCCGAAAAUCCUUUGCAACAACAAAACAGAGUAGGUA
rfam:Bacteroidetes bacterium GWF2_35_48 gwf2_scaffold_620, whole genome shotgun sequence.